CGCUAUAUAGACAGCACCACACGCUCUGCUGCAGGUUAGACUACACGCUAUAUAGACAGCACCACGCGCUCUGCUGCAGGUUAGACUACACGCUAUAUAGACAGCACCACGCGCUCUGCUGCAGGUUAGACUACACGCUAUAUAGACAGCACCACACGCUCUGCUGCAGGUUAGACUACACGCUAUAUAGACAGCACCACACGCUCUGCUGCAGGUUAGACUACACGCUAUAUAGACAGCACCACGCGCUCUGCUGCAGGUUAGACUAGCUAUAUAGACAGCACCACGCGCUCUGCUGCAGGUUAGACUACACGCUAUAUAGACAGCACCACGCGCUCUGCUGCAGGUUAGACUACACGCUAUAUAGACAGCACCACACGCUCUGCUGCAGGUUAGACUACACGCUAUAUAGACAGCACCACGCGCUCUGCUGCAGGUUAGACUAGCUAUAUAGACAGCACCACGCGCUCUGCUGCAGGUUAGACUACACGCUAUAUAGACAGCACCACACGCUCUGCUGCAGGUUAGACUACACGCUAUAUAGACAGCACCACACGCUCUGCUGCAGGUUAGACUACACGCUAUAUAGACAGCACCACGCGCUCUGCUGCAGGUUAGACUACACGCUAUAUAGACAGCACCACGCGCUCUGCUGCAGGUUAGACUACACGCUAUAUAGACAGCACCACGCGCUCUGCUGCAGGUUAGACUACACGCUAUAUAGACAGCACCACGCGCUCUGCUGCAGGUUAGACUACACGCUAUAUAGACAGCACCACGCGCUCUGCUGCAGGUUAGACUACACGCUAUAUAGACAGCACCACACGCUCUGCUGCAGGUUAGACUACACGCUAUAUAGACAGCACCACGCGCUCUGCUGCAGGUUAGACUACACGCUAUAUAGACAGCACCACGCGCUCUGCUGCAGGUUAGACUAGCUAUAUAGACAGCACCACGCGCUCUGCUGCAGGUUAGACUAGCUAUAUAGACAGCACCACGCGCUCUGCUGCAGGUUAGACUACACGCUAUAUAGACAGCACCACGCGCUCUGCUGCAGGUUAGACUACACGCUAUAUAGACAGCACCACGCGCUCUGCUGCAGGUUAGACUAGCUAUAUAGACAGCACCACACGCUCUGCUGCAGGUUAGACUACACGCUAUAUAGACGGCACCACGCUCUGCUGCAGGUUAGACUACACGCUAUAUAGACAGCACCACGCGCUUUGCUGCAGGUUAGACUACACGCUAUAUAGACAGCACCACGCGCUCUGCUGCAGGUUAGACUACACGCUAUAUAGACAGCACCACGCGCUCUGCUGCAGGUUAGACUACACGCUAUAUAGACGGCACCACGCGCUCUGCUGCAGGUUAGACUAGCUAUAUAGACAGCACCACACGCUCUGCUGCAGGUUAGACUACACGCUAUAUAGACAGCACCACGCGCUCUGCUGCAGGUUAGACUACACGCUAUAUAGACAGCACCACACGCUCUGCUGCAGGUUAGACUACACGCUAUAUAGACAGCACCACGCGCUCUGCUGCAGGUUAGACUACACGCUAUAUAGACAGCACCACGCGCUCUGCUGCAGGUUAGACUACACGCUAUAUAGACAGCACCACACGCUCUGCUGCAGGUUAGACUACACGCUAUAUAGACAGCACCACGCGCUCUGCUGCAGGUUAGACUACACGCUAUAUAGACAGCACCACGCGCUCUGCUGCAGGUUAGACUACACGCUAUAUAGACAGCACCACGCGCUCUGCUGCAGGUUAGACUACACGCUAUAUAGACAGCACCACGCGCUCUGCUGCAGGUUAGACUAGCUAUAUAGACAGCACCACACGCUCUGCUGCAGGUUAGACUAGCUAUAUAGACACACACAGGAGGAGAUGGCUCCACUCAUUCACUACUGCUGCGAAUACACAGUGUCACAAUAUGACCAUUUUCUCCUCUCAGAAACACACACACACCUGACAAAAAUGGAUGCACAUACUUACAGUGGAAGUCGGAAGUCUACAUACAUUUAGGUUGGAGUCAAUAAAACUUGUUUUUCAACCACU